rnacentral:rRNA from 1 species
AGCGACUUGUACUGUGAAACUGCGAAUGGCUCAUUAAAUCAGUUAUGGUUUCUUUGAUGGUACCUUGCUACUUGGAUACCCGUAGUAAUUCUAGAGCUAAUACAUGCAGGAGUGCCCGACUUCGGAAGGGCUGUAUUUAUUAGAUAAGAAACCUUCUCGGGUUCGCCCGGUUGUGUGCUGAGUCAUAAUAACUGCUCGAAUCGCACGGCUCUACGCCGGCGAUGGUUCAUUCAAAUUUCUGCCCUAUCAGCUUUCGAUGGUAGGAUAGAGGCCUACCAUGGCGUUAACGGGUAACGGAGAAUUAGGGUUCGAUCCCGGAGAGGGAGCCUGAGAAAUGGCUACCACAUCCAAGGAAGGCAGCAGGCGCGUAAAUUGCCCGAAUCCUGACACAGGGAGGUAGUGACAAGAAAUAACGAUACAGGGCUACAUCUAGUCUUGUAAUUGGAAUGAGUACAAUUUACAUCUCUUAACGAUGAUCAAUUGGAGGGCAAGUCUGGUGCCAGCAGCCGCGGUAAUUCCAGCUCCAAUAGCGUAUAUUAAAGUUGUUGCAGUUAGAACGCUCGUAGUCGGAUUUCGGGGCGUUCCGACCGGUCUGCCGAUGGGUAUGCACUGGCCGGAGUGUCCUUUUUGCCGGAAACCGUGCCUACUCUUAACUGAGCGGGGGCGGGAGACGGCACUUUUACUUU